rnacentral:lncRNA from 1 species
AAGCCUGGCUCUGUUUACACUCUGCCUUGUGCAUUCACAAUGAACCGCACUGGCAGAACCGCAUGGUCGGCAGCAUGGGGAGGGGACUUUACCUAGGUCCAAGGGAGACACCACACAUCGAGGCUGAUCCGCUCUUGCAGCACUGAGUCCUAAACACCUCUGCCAUAUUAGCAGGACUAAAAGCAUGGUGUCCCUCAGGUCUUAGAGGGGAUGCAAGCACAGUUUCCUUUUCAGUAUAAAUCCCCAUUGUUCUUUUCACAUCAGGCAGAGCUAGUUAGAGGAUACCGGUAGUGAUGAGAGGAAAAAGGUGUGUGUCAGACUCUCCCCCACUGUUUCAGUUCAAGAGGACAAAGAGCUCAGGUGUUGCCAAUUCCCACAGCCAUUACUCUAAGUCAAGAGCAAGACCAUUGGCUGGGCAUCUGUUUUAUGGCCAUUCAUUCCCUGUGCUGUUAUUAACCCUGAAGUAUCUGAUACAGUCCUCAUCCCCACUGUCACACAGGCAGACAGUGCAGUUGGCUAUCAGGAGAUUUACUUCUAGAAGUGUGUGGACGAGUUCAUGUUGGAGACAGUCGGUACUUCCCGAGUAGCUGCGUUCGCCCCAGCUGUCCGCACUCUACUUUGAGCUUCACAAGAACCCUGUAAGCUAUGACAUGUGGCAGAGAGACCUUCUCUACAUCGGAACUCUGUGUCCUCUGCAACAUGACCCAGAAUUGACGCUGUUAGUUUCAGAUUGCUGACAUCUGGGACAACCUCCUGGUCCCAUGUGCCCCACGGAGCUACACAAUGUGUUUCUGAGAAUGGAAGUGAGCAGAGAUGAUGUGCAGCAGCUCCUGGCAAGGCUUUGGAAGAGUGAGUGGGGCUUCAUCUUGUGCUCCUCCUUCUAAACAUGAGCAGAGGCCUUGUGGGACCUUGGACCACCAUAGCAAUGAGAUAGAAGGCUCGUCUUCGGCUGCCAGCUCUCUGUGUU